CUUCCUUCUUCAGCCGCUGGAUCGUCGAUUUCAGCGGGACCCCCAGGGGCAGGGGGAGUGCUUCUGCAGGACACUGCCAUCGGAAGGCAAAAGCGUCAAAACAUGACUCAUUGCGGGGAGGAGAGCAGAGAGAAGGAAGGGGGGAGGAGAAGCCGUCUGCAACAAGAAAUUCAACUUUAUUGAUUGGAUGAUUUUUGAAGACAAACAGAAAAGAAAAAUUGCGACGAAAUAAAGGUACAAGAUCGGAGGUAUCAGACCUUGGGGGCGGGG
rnacentral:lncRNA from 1 species